UAAUACCGGAUACGAGCUGCGAAGGCAUCUUCAGCAGCUGGAAAGAAUUUCGGUCAGGGAUGAGCUCGCGGCCUAUCAGCUUGUUGGUGAGGUAAUGGCUCACCAAGGCGUCGACGGGUAGCCGGCCUGAGAGGGUGACCGGCCACACUGGGACUGAGACACGGCCCAGACUCCUACGGGAGGCAGCAGUGGGGAAUAUUGCACAAUGGGCGAAAGCCUGAUGCAGCAACGCCGCGUGAGGGAUGACGGCCUUCGGGUUGUAAACCUCUUUUAGCAAAGGAAGAAGCGAAAAGUGACGGUACUUGCAGAAAAAGCGCCGGCUAACUACGUGCCAGCAGCCGCGGUAAUACGUAGGGCGCAAGCGUUAUCCGGAAUUAUUGGGCGUAAAGAGCUCGUAGGCGGUCUGUCGCGUCUGCUGUGAAAACCCGAGGCUCAACCUCGGGCCUGCAGUGGGUACGGGCAGACUAGAGUGCGGUAGGGGAGAUUGGAAUUCCUGGUGUAGCGGUGGAAUGCGCAGAUAUCAGGAGGAACACCGAUGGCGAAGGCAGAUCUCUGGGCCGUAACUGACGCUGAGGAGCGAAAGGGUGGGGAGCA
rnacentral:rRNA from 1 species